rnacentral:lncRNA from 1 species
UUGGAAAAUCCAACUGCGCCACGGGGCGGAGCGGCCCCCCCAGCCCCGGCCUGGGAGAGGGGGGGGCCGCUCGACCCCCUGGGAGACCUUGGGGAGCCUGAACACCUGGGACAACCCAGAAUCAGUCUGUUACUGAGGCGGAGACACGGGUGAUGAUUGGCUUUCUGGGGAGAGAGGAAGUCCUGUGAUUGGCCGGAUCUGUGGAGCUCGCCGACGCGCUGAGAGGACGCUCCCACGGAGGCCGGAAUUGGCUGUGAAAGGCCCUGGGCUGCCAUCUGGGGGCAGUGGGCCCUACUGUCAGAGCAGCUGGAGCGGGACCAUCACCCCAGAGAGCUGGGGCAGGGGGCCGUGCCCGAUCUCCAGGGCUCCUGGGGCCACUGCUGACCUGGUAAGGGAAAGACUGGGGCUAGGUUGGCUGUGUGUACAUUGGCAGCUCAGGCUCUGCCCCCAGUAAGAUCAUCAUC